rnacentral:rRNA from 1 species
UACGGGGGGGGCAAGCGUUGUUCGGAAUUACUGGGCGUAAAGGGCUCGUAGGCGGCCAACUAAGUCGGAUGUGAAAUCCCCAGGCUCAACCUGGGAACUGCAUCCGAUACUGGAUGGCUUGAAUUCGGGAGAGGGAUGCGGAAUUCCAGGUGUAGCGGUGAAAUGCGUAGAUAUCUGGAGGAAUACCGGUGGCGAAGGCGGCAUCCUGGACCGACAUUGACACUGAGGAGCGAAAGCCAGGGGAGCAAACGGG